rnacentral:rRNA from 1 species
AGUGAACGCUGGCGGUAGGCCUAACACAUGCAAGUCGAACGGCAGCACAGUAAGAGCGUGCUCUUACGGGUGGCGAGUGGCGGACGGGUGAGGAAUACAUCGGAAUCUUCUUUUUCGUGGGGGACAACGUAGGGAAACUUACGAUAAUACCGCAUACGACCUACGGGUGAAAGCAGUGGUGCUUCGCACUUUGCGUGACUGUAAGAGCCGAUGUCGGAUUAGCUAGUUGGCGGGGUAAAGGCCCACCAGGGCGACGAUCCGUGGCUGGUCUGAGGGGAUGGUCGCCACCCCGGAACCUAGGACACGGUCCGACCUCCACGGGAGGCCAGCGGUGGGAACUUUUGGCCAAUGGGGGAAACCCUGCUCCGGCCAUACGGCGUGGGUGAAGAAGGCCUUCGAGUUGUAAAGCCCUUUUGUUGGGAAAGAAAAGUGGCAAGUUAAUUCCCCGCUGUUCGACCGUAACCCAACGAAUAAGCACCGGCAACCUUCUU